GACGAACGCUGGCGGCGUGCCUAACACAUGCAAGUCGAACGGAAAGGCCCUGCUUUUGUGGGGUGCUCGAGUGGCGAACGGGUGAGUAACACGUGAGUAUCCUGCCCUGGACUUUGGGAUAACUUCAGGAAACUGGGGCUAAUACCGGAUAGGAGCUCCUGCUGCAUGGUGGGGGUUGGAAAGUUUCGGCGGUUGGGGAUGGACUCGCGGCUUAUUAGCUUGUUGGUUGGGUAGUGGCUUACCAACGCUUAGACGGGUAGCCGGCCUGAGAGGGUGAACGGCCACAUUGGGACUGAGAGACGGCGCAGACUCCUACGGGAGGCAGCAGUGGGGAAUAUUGCACAAUGGGCGGACGCCUGAUGCAGCAACGCCGCGUGCGGGAUGACGGCCUUCGGGUUGUAAACCGCUUUCACCUGUGACGAAGCGUGAGUGACGGUAAUGGGUAAAGAAGCACCGGCUAACUACGUG
rnacentral:rRNA from 1 species